rnacentral:rRNA from 1 species
UCCCAGCAAUGGUGACUAAAUUGCCGCGGUACCCUGACCGUGCGAAGGUAGCGAAUAAUAAUUUGCCUAUUAAUUGUUGGCCAGAAAUGAAUGGUGUGACGCUGGUGGCGCUGUCUCGUUAGUACUGAUUUGAAUUUGACCUCUGGGUGAAAAGGCCCAGAUAGGCCUGAAAGACGAUUAGACCCUGUCGAACUUUAAGUAAACUAGUUUUAAGGAAAAACGGCUAAGCUUUUGGUUGGGAAAACCGGAGGUAAGAAAAAACACCUCCUCCCUUUGAGACACCCGUUAUUUAUGGGGUAAUAGAGAAUUUACCUUAAGGGCAAUUGGCCUGAUGGAGAGUAAAACAAUAGGGCAAUAAAAGUCUGACAGGACAUAGUUAACUUAUCAAACGAACCUAAAGACCCGCCUGUAAGGCGGGAAACUAUUAAUAAGGAAUAGUUACCGCAGGGAUAACAGCGUAAUCCUCCCGGCGAGACCACAUUAAUGGGGGG